rnacentral:lncRNA from 10 species
AAAUCAUGACGCAGACAGCGACACUAACAGUGAGAAGCCUCAGCACAGAGUUGCACAGAGAGACUGCCUCUGCAUUUGUGACACUGACAGCACAGACACCAUAACUCCAGCCAUGACAGGCUCUGCACACAGGGACCCAGGAAGUGAAGGGCACUGCAGACCAUACCUCUGACUGUGACAGACCCCGAACAUCCACAGAGACAGUAACAUCAGCAUUGACAGGCUCAGCAAACAGAGAAAUAGGGAGGAAUGGGCUCUGUCGACAUCAUAACACCAACAGACACAGGGACAAGUACUGCAAACAGUGACACAAACAGUACUAGCCUCUCCCAAUAAUACCAAGCUCUGCAAAUAAAACUAAACUCCACAGAAUGACAAACAGUGCCACGGUCUACAAAUGGUGACACAGGCAAUGACAAGCUUUGCAAACAGCUCCAAGCUCUGCAAAUAAUGACACACAGGGCCAAGCUCUGCAAACACGUGUGAGGAGACAGAAGCACACAGAGGAGAAUUCACCUGCCAGGGCCAUAGAAAUCCUGCGCUGCUGUCCAGCACUGGGAUUCGUGUCUGCCCAACUCUCAGGUGGAUGAGUUACUAUUACGGGUGACGUAGCAAAGCAGUUUGGUGUGCAGACCACAGGCAAGAACUGCUUGAAUCCUGGCUCUGUGAUCUGUGGGAAAUAUGUAACCUCUCGCCUCCUCAGUUUCCUCAUCUGGAAAAUGGGGAUAAUAA